GAUUUGCAAACAAAACUUUAGAACUUGCAAGCAAAGAGGACGCAAAAUGGUCGUAUGUUUUUACUUACAAACAUUAGUUUUGAUUGAAGUUGAAGAAAUAUGUUCUCUCAUAUUUUUUUUUUCAAUUGCAACCUGUUCUGUUUUGAUCUCAAAAAAAUUUUUUUGAUUGCCACUUACUCUUUUUUUCUCUCAAAUCUCUCUUUUGGUUUCAAAUCUAUUCUAUUUGAUUGAAUAAUAAAAGAACAAAAUUCUCCCCAUAUACCAUUACCAUUAACAUUAACAUAAACAUAAACAUUAACUUAAAAUGUGAAUUUAGGUGCAUGUAAUUCUUUAGUAUGAACCACAUUUUAUAAUGAAAAAUAAAUAAUGCACUAUGCAGUCAUUAGAACAAGAAGAGCUUUUGAAUCUUGUGUGGAUUAUUUAAGUUACAUUUUGCUGGUUAUAGUGACAUGAAUAUGUUUAUAUUUUUACUGCCUAAGGCCAAGAAGAAAUUGUCCCUAAAUGUCCCUAAAGAUGACUUGAUGGCAGAGGUGACCAAAAAUGAUCUGGAUGGUCCUGAAGAUAAAGGAAGCUCUGCUCCAAGUUGCAGCAGUAUAAGCAGCAUUGGAUCAGGAUCAAUCUCCAAAGUGGAGUUCCUAGAAGCCAGGAUCCAAUGGCAAGAAAAAAUAAGAAGAAAAAGAAGAAAUCAUCUCAGUCAAAAGUAUUUACUUUGGAGGACAAUGAUGAGGAUGACAAUGGCAAUAUGGAUGAAGAUGAAGUCAUUCCCCCAUCUUCUCCAGACAUCAGUGAGUCCUCGGACAGUGAUGUCCUCCAAAGGGGGAAGACACAUCGGACACGGCCACCUGCAUCUGCAACUGUGGCUGUGCCUGGAAAAGCUCAUGUGAGAGAUUUUUCAGUGAAAGGGCCAGCUGAGGUUAUCAGCAGAUAUAAAAAAAGUCUUGAAAAGCUUAAGCAAAGUCCACACCAUGACUGAAACCUUCAGAAUCAAUGGCGUGGACCGGGGAACCAUCAAGAUAACUGCUGCAAUUGUAGAGCUCAACAUUGUGGAUCCUGAAACCUUCAAGACCCUGAAGUAUGAUCCUGCAACGGAGACCCUGAAGUCCUUUGCUAAGAGAUGUGCAACCCACAUUACCCCUGAGAAGAAGAGCAUUAUAGAGGACAUGAAGGCCAAAUGCCAACUCCUCUCCUUGUUGAUGAAAUAUAAAGACCUGAUGCAGUAAUUAUAGAGCAGGUUUAGGCUGUGAAAGUGCAAUGUUUGUACAGUUCAGUACAUUUGUUCUAAGCGUUGACAAGUGUACUUAAGCUGAUAAAGAGCAAGUUCAUGUUGAGCUGUGUAGGUUUUAUAUUUUUUAGAUUGUGCAAUAUUUUGUAUUUUUGUACUUAAUAUUGUGCAGUAUUUUAUAUUGUGCUGUUUUUUUGUAAGCAGGCAGAUUUUGGUUAAAGGAUCACACAGAUUUUCAACAAGAGUGCCUGUAUUAUCAUACAGUAUGACCUGCUUAUACAUUUGAAACCAUAUUGUAUGACAUGUUUAUAUACACUGAUACUUGUCAGUGUUUGAAUUUUCAGGCAGACCCCAUUACCUGUAAAUUAAACUACACAGCAAGUUCACACAGUAUUUGUUGUCAGCCUUGGCAAAACCUGAACUAGUGGUUUAAUAAAUGAGGUAUUUGUACUUGUGCUGUCUUUGUUAUUCUACCACUGAAUGAGAGGGAACCUAUAGAUAGAUCCAUUUUUUUCAAAGGUGUAACCCAUCACUUGUUCAUUGCAGUAGUUAUGUGCUAUAAUAUAUUAACUAAGUGUGAAAAGUAGGCAACUUUAGAUUAGGGAACAUGUGUUGGUUAAUAAGUGUUCAACUAUUAGUGAAUUAGUAAUGAUCAAGAUGUCACUUUAGUAUGGGGAACAUAUUCUAAGUAACACAGACUUAAUUUAGAGUUAUUUGGACACUAUUAACACUUGUAGUUUUGUCUUUUGUUAUGUAAGAACAGACCAUAUUCAUUAAGUGUUAUUAAGGGAGAAUAACUAUUCUUGUGGUACUACCACCUUAUAAAGUCCAUACUAAGCAAAGCAUAUUGAGAUUGUAAUUCAUAUACAACAACUUCUUAACUUACUACUAAUAAGCAAU
rnacentral:lncRNA from 15 species